rnacentral:rRNA from 1 species
CCUACGGGAGGCAGCAGUAGGGAAUAUUGCUCAAUGGGGGAAACCCUGAAGCAGCAACGCCGCGUGGAGGAUGAAGGUUUUCGGAUUGUAAACUCCUUUUGUUAGAGAAGAUAAUGACGGUAUCUAACGAAUAAGCACCGGCUAACUCCGUGCCAGCAGCCGCGGGAAUACGGAGGGUGCAAGCGUUACUCGGAAUCACUGGGCGUAAAGAGCGCGGAGGCGGGAUAGCAAGUCAGAUGUGAAAUCCUAUGGCUUAACCAUAGAACUGCAUUUGAAACUGUUAUUCUAGAGUAUGGGAGAGGUAGGUGGAAUUCUUGGUGUAGGGGUAAAAUCCGUAGAGAUCAAGAGGAAUACUCAUUGCGAAGGCGACCUGCUAGAACAUAACUGACGCUGAUGCGCGAAAGCGUGGGGAGCAAACAGGAUUAGAUACCCGGGUAGUC